CCUCCCCCGAUUCCGCCCCUGGAGGGACAGAUUCAAUCAACCUGAUGUUAGAAAAUUCAAAUUCACUUGUUAUCAAAUAUUGGGAUUAAAGAAAACAUCAAGAACUAGAACAUGGAUGAGAUAAACUUGUUUGUUGGCGGAUGUAACCCAUGUUUUGCUUAGGCCUUGCAACAAGAUAAUGAUCAUUCUUCAUUUAGCAGCAGAGAUGAACAAAAACUGGAUUCAGAACUUGAAAGACACCCAGCACAUGACCGUAUCUCAAGUUUUCACCCAAAGCUCCAUUCACAUAGGAAGAUGAAUCCAGCCAGCAACCUAAAGGUGGCUGCCUAUCCAAAAUGCAUUAUAAGGUUUUAAAUUUUCCAUUAUAUUUCUCGACAAACUAAAACUGAUGUCACAACUUCAAGUCCGACACAAAUCUUGCUGCAUUAUGUAUAAAAAAGAAUGCCCCACUAGAGAAGUUAUAAAAAACUCCCAAUCCUGAAUUUCAUAGGCAGUUGAAUACCAGAUAAUUGCUGCAAUAGAAAAUAUUUUUCACCUUUUACCAGAAAUCAUGCAUCAUAAUUCAGCGCUGUCAUUAUCUUUAACCUCGGAGAAAGCAGGUGUUCCAUUAAGAGUCUGACCAUCACCUUCCAGAUCAAGUGCUCUGGCAUGGAAGUUUCCUUUUUUAGUACAAGGCUUUAAUUUAUCAUACAUAGCUGGAGAGAAGAGAAAAUGUUCCCUGACUAACUUCGAAAGCUCUUCUUCUCUUUCGACAACUCCCUGACCUUUUUAACCCUGAGGCAUGUAGUCAAUGCAUAAAAAUUUGGCUUCCAUCCUGGUUUACUUAUUGAAAUUGCUUUCUUUAAUGUUUCUGCUGCCUUCACCAUCUCACCACCAAAAAGAUAUCCAGUUACCAAAUGAUCCCAAGGGCUUGGAGGAAGCUCCAUCCCACUACAAUCUUUUUUACCAAUGGCUUAGCCUUUCGUCAAGGACCCCUAUUGGAAAAACCAGUAAUCAUCAAAUUUGGAAUUUGAAUGUCAAAGGACGUCUUCCUCGAUGCUCACUCUUUCCAAAUUUCCUCAGCACAAUCAAAGCCAUCCAACUUCAUCAAUGAGUUUAUCAUUCGUUGAUAGCCCGAGUUGAAAAACCCUCCUGUAUCCUUCUACUACUACCAUAAACGAUAUACUCCUACUCUAUUCCCAGCAGCACCAUAUCCUUGUAAGGAGAGCCUCAUAAGCAAGCUUUUUUGAGUUACCCCUUGUUUGGGUGAUUAAUUGCUCAGCUCUCUUCAACAAUGCAACAGUUUUCUCAAUUAGUCCAGCUUUCAGGUAACCAUUUGCCACAACAAAACAAGUAUUCCAGUCAAUGCUGAUGAGAGGAUCUGUUUCCAUCUUGUUCAGAAGUUUAUCCAUUUCCUCAAUGUUGGAAGAGGCUACAUAAGCAUUCAGCCUAAUGUUUAUACAUGUCACCAUUGAUUCUCUUUUCUUUCAUCUCUUUCACUAGAGCAUCUAAUUUCUCAUGCUUCCCCAUCUGAGAAUAGAGGCUUAGCAAUAAAAUUACAAGGUCGUGCCUGUACAAAUCCCAACUCCCUCAUCUUCUGCAUCAGGGCCUCUGCAUUUUCCAAGCACUUUUUGUGUGCGUGUCCAAAAGGGUACCAUAAACCUGGACACCCCUAAAACGAUCUGGAAUCGUUUUCCAAGCACUUGUUCCAUACCAUGAACUUUUGAAAUUAAGUCCAGCCGGACUGCAAAGACUCCAGUUGAUUGGUCAUAGCCCCUUUCAUCACUCAUCCAUUGUGAUAUCUAGCAUAAAAAUGAAAUGCAAGAUUCUUGAAAAAAUAACUACGAUUUUAAAAAUCNNNNNNNNNNNNNNNNNNNNNNNNNNNNNNNNNNNNNNNNNNNNNNNNNNNNNNNNNNNNNNNNNNNNNNNNNNNNNNNNNNNNNNNNNNNNNNNNNNNNGAACUUUUGAAAUUAAGUCCAGCCGGACUGCAAAGACUCCAGUUGAUUGGUCAUAGCCCCUUUCAUCACUCAUCCAUUGUGAUAUCUAGCAUAAAAUGAAAUGCAAGAUUCUUGAAAAAAUAACUACGAUUUUAAAAUCAUAUUUCACUGAUGAAGAAUAUCAUAUCUAAAAAUACAUAUGGUGAUUAAGUGCAACCACAACAAAUAUCAAAGAACCCUCAAUGCUAUAAGCCCAAAGGUUUGUAAAAUCCAACAAUUCAAACUAAAAGAGCAAGAAAAAAGAUACCCUUUAAGAAAAAAUGCGUGACUAGUACACAAAGAAUCAAACUUUAUACAAUUUGCAAGCAAACCCAAAAAUCCAACUUUAUGAAAUACCCGAAGGGCAUGAGAAAGACAUUUUUUUUUUUUACCAAAAAAACUCGUUUUAAACCUAUUUUUACCUAAAGACACUUAAUAAACAUCCUUACAAUGUCAAUAAACUAAAUUAUAAAUCAAAACACCCCUAAACUUAUAAGAAAAACACAAAAUCAAACUAGAAAAAAAAUCUUCACAAAAUCAAACCGGGAAAAGAAUCUUCUCCCACUCCCGAUCUAUGUUUUAUGGCAAGGAGAAGGGCAAAAAACGACUUAAUGAAAUUCCUCUCGUCGAAUGAAAUCUUUUGAUACCAAGACUAAUUUUUUUGUGGUUGAAAUGUGGCCAACUGAUGAUUUUCUUUGUCUUUGUCAUUAUCCGAUGACUUUUUCUUUUCUCUAUGAAACAGAGAAAUCGUAAAAUGACAAAUAAAGUUUUGAACCAAAACAACAAAGUGGAAAACUACAUGGACCAAAAACAGUUUUUGCCAAAUCUCUAGGGAAAGAAAUGUCAAAAAGACGCUGGACAAAUAAAAGAUUUAAAAAGAAAAUUCAAUUUUUUCCUCUUUUUUUGCCUCGUUCUCCAAUCUGAUCCCAAAUGCCAAGAAAGUCUUCUGAUACUGUAAUAAUUGAAAAUAAAUCAAAAUAAAUGACGAAACAACAAUUUUUCCAAGAAUAAAAUUGAAAAAAUAAUAAUUGAGGGACUGAAUUAAAAAACAUAAAAUUCCAAAGAAAAAAAAUUAUUGUCAUUCGUAGUGUUUUGUGGAAAAGUGUAAUGUGGAAAUGACAUGCCCUUUAGUUUUUAUUUAUUUAUUUAUUUAAAUUAAUUUUAAUAUGCUCAUGAAAUAUUCAUUGUCCUUAUUCCAAAAGGUGAAGGUUCCUCUUGCGUAUUUCAUGCCCAAAUGCAUCUAAGAAAAUCCCGCUAUAACCAUGUUGGGUCUAAAAUUUGAGUUAUCUCUGUAUAUGCAUAUGCGAGACAAAUCAAAUAUAGAAUUUUGAGCUCUCUAAAAAGUUAACGGAACUUCAUAAAAUUUAUCGUGAAGUUUUCAUUCCGUACAAGCCAAAUCAUGAAUUAGUAAUUACAUGUAAUCUCCAAAAAAAUCCCAAUUGUUAUUUCAAGCCUUCUCUUUCUUUUUUUAGAAUGGAAUAUUUACAGAAUCCCUAUAUAUAGAUCAAAUUUUAUUCCAUGGUAUUUACCUCUUUCUUAUUCUUAAACAAGUCUCCCAAGAGAGUUUGAUUUAUCCUUGAUUUAUAUUUCAAACUUAUGACCUCAAACUAAAAGAAUCUUCUUUCAUACCUUCUAAACCAAUUCUUUGGGACACAUACGUAACAACAUGCUUUCAGAAAUUACUCUGAAAUGGGAAUCCAUUUCAUGUUGGGGGUAAAUAAGAUGAUCCAAUUCUCAUCACUUCAAUCUAUAAUUCCAAAUAAAGCUAAUCUUCUACAGCUGAAAUUAGUAUUUUGCAUGUUUUAAAGGAAGUGUGUUAAAAAUUUACAAUCCCGAGAAUAGGUGGAGAGAACACAAUGCGUGCAGCAUAAAGAAGCAUGAAUGGAUUGGUCAGUGUUGUUUUAACUAAAUUCAGAAGCCAGCAAUUCCAGCAGAUGGCAUAGCUUCGAAUUGAGGAUCUUGGUUUAUGUACAGGUCUACAAAAGCAAGUCAAAUGACAGAUGUUGAAUAAAUUUAUAUUCAAAUGGUCAUUCCAAGGAAGGGCUGGCCUCAAUAUGCUCUACUUUCAUUAACAUGUGCGAGGAAGAUGGGUAAUAUUAUCCCUACUUCUAUGCUUGCACGCCAUAAUGACCACAACAAAAAAUGAAAAAACCAAGAUGAAACUUCACUUUCACAAAUGACAUACCAUUCUUUCGCAGUCAGUUUACUUCUCAAAACAUCAUAUUUCAGCACUAUCUUUGUCUUCGAACUCUGUGGCAGCAGGUGUUUCUCCAUUAAGAGCCUGGUCUUCACCUUCCAUAUGAUCAAGGGCUCUGGCACACAGGUUUUCUUUGUCAAUGAUACUGCUGUUUAACCUAUCAUAAGAAACUGAUGAUAGAUGACAAUGUUCCUUAAGUAUCUUCAGAGGGUCUUCUAUCUUUUUCACAUCUUCCCGACCUUUCAAAUACUCAAGACAUGCAGCCAAAGUAUACACAUUUGGCUUCCAACCUGGUUGACUUAUUGAAAUUGCUUUCUUUAUUGUUUCCGAUGCCUUCAGCAUCUGACCUCUUACAUGAUAUCCAGUUGCUAGACGAUCCAAUGUGCUUGCUUCAAUCUUGAUCCCACUCGCUACAAUCUUGCCUACAAAUGCCUCAGCCUUUUCCCAUAGGCCCUUUUUGGAAUAAGCACUGACCAUCACAUUUGGAAUUCGAAUAUCAAAAAAUUUCACAAUGGAAACCCACUCUUCCCAAAUCCUCUCAGCACCAUCAACAUCAUCCAACUUCAGUAAUGAGUUUAUCAUGCAAAGAUAGCUCGAGUUCAAGGACCUCCCUUUAGUCUUGUACAAAUUCCACACACGAUACACUUGUUCUUUAUUCCCAACAGCAGUAUAUAAAGAGAGAAGAGUUUCACAAGCAAACCUUGCUGACUUACCACUGAUUAGUUGUUCUGAUCUCCACAACAUUGUCAAAGUUUUAUCAAUGAGGCCAGCUUUCAAGUAACCAUUCGCUGCAACAACAUAAGCAUACCAGUCAAUGCUGACAAGAGGAUCUGCUUCCAUCUUCAUUAAAAUUUUCUUGAUUUCCUCAAUGUUGGAAGUGGCUACAUAAGCAUUCAACAAAAUCUUGUAUGUGAUAUUGCUAAAACAAAUGCCCCACUUUUCCAUCUCUUGCAUUAAUACCUGUAUUUUCUCAUAUUUCCCCAUCUGAUAAUAGAGGUUUAGCAUUACAUUAUAAGACAGCACAUUUCUUACAAACCCCAUCUCCCUCAUUUUUCGCAUUGUGGCCUCCGCUUCCUCCAAAUGCUUAUAGUGCGCAUAGCAGUUUAAAAGAGCACCAUAAACCUCCAAGCCUCUCAAACUCUCAGGAACGCUAUUAAAAUAUGUCACAGCUUGUUCCAAGCCAUGAACUUUCGAGAUUAAAUCCAGUCGAACUGCAACAUCUCCGGGUGAUAAAUUAUGCCCCCUUUGGUCACUCAUCCAUUGUGAUAUCUAACACAAAACAAAAUACUUAAACAAAUUCCAAGGGAACCAAAAAAUUUAGGAUGUUAUACUAAAUAUCAAACAUUUAGCUACUUGAUUAAGUGGAAAAAUCAGUUUCAAAAUACUACUAUAGCCUGCACAAAACUUUCAACUAAAGCUAUAAGGCUACUCAACGAUCUUUUCAACAAAAACUAAAACAAUUACCAAUUUGCAAUGAAACCCAGAAAUUCAAUAGCCAUAAAAGACAGAUUGAAUCUAUACAAAGCAUCAAAUGCAGAUUUAACAAUCAAUAACUAAAUGGGCACAAGCAAAAACACUAAAAUAAGUAGAUAAAAGAGAGAGGGACCUGAAGAGCGUGGCUAAAACGAUGGAUUUUACGGAGUUUUCUGAUGAAGUGUUUGAGGUCACUAUUUGUAACCACUUGGCCUUCUUGAACCCAUUUUUCUAUAACUGGAAUAACAGGGACCAUCGGAUCUUCCACCAUAGAGAUCCUACGGUUAAGAGAGUGGGAUAUAGCGGUUGUGUCUGUGGAAAAGCAAAGAGCCCUUAAAACUCCAUCAAUGUGAAGGCAUAAACUUGGGUUUGAUCGAACAAAGAGGUUCAUUUCAUGGAGCAAAAACAGAGAAAUCUUGGAGCUCUUGAGUUGUGGAAGGCUUUUGUUUUGUGGGUUUUAGAAAGGGUUUUAUUUGAGUAAAUUAUAUUGUAGUCCCUAUUCUAGAACACAUUAUGAAUUAGUCCUCCAUUUUGAAAACUCUAUAAUUUAAUUUAUUGACUCUUGCUUACUGUUGUCGUAUUUACAAUAUUUUGGUUUUCUUCUAAAUUCUUACCAUGUUGGUUUUUAUAUAUCAAUUAAAAUAAUAAAAAGGUACAUUUAGGAUUUAGAAAAAAAUAUAAUUUUAUUUUUUACAAGAGACUAAGAUAUAGCCUUAUAGGUUUAAAAAAGGAGUGAAUUGUAAUUGAAUUGACAAUCCAGGGCCCAAGAAAUCAAAACUAUAAAAAUACUUAAAAACAAGUCAAUUAAGUCCAAUCAUUAAAAUCUAAAAAAUAAUAAAAUUAUAUCAAAAUUAAUCAAAUUAUUAAAUCAUAGCCUUUAUAUAUAUGUAUAUGUAUGUAUGGAAUCAUUAGUUAUUGCCUUAAAUAUUAUCUUUGACUCUCUUAGAUGAAUAAAUAUUCAAAAAACAUUGUUAUUCCGUUGAACAGUAUGAAAUAAGGGACUAAUAUUUAUUUUUGUUAAUUUUUUAGAGUUUUAUCAAGAAUUUUCAAUUAUAUUACUAAAUAUCAGUAAUCAAAACAAAAAGAAUUAAGAAACAGUUUUAGAUUAUGAUUUAUCAAGAAAUAUUUUUUCUAACCAUUAAAUAUUUAAAGAAUCCAUGAAAAUUCGAUAAAAAAUAUUAAAUAUAUAGUACGAUAACAAGAAAACUAAUAAUCAAAUAUAUGUAAAGAAAAACAUAUAAGUCUAUAAAUGUAAUAAAACAUUUUAGUAUCUUGUUCAUUAAAAAAUAAUUCAUUAAUAAUUUCCAAUAAUGAGAAAAAGGAGAUAUAUAACAACAUGUUCAACUUUUUUUUCAUUAUUUUUAGUAAUUUUUCCUCGAUAGUAAUAUUAUUUAUUCAAAUAUUAUUCCUACAUAGCAUUUGAUUGGGUUCUAAACUCUUGGAAUUUUUCUUUAAUUUUUACUUUCGUUUUAAUAUUUUUAUAAAUUGAUAUACACUUGCAAUUUAGGUGUAAAAAACACUAGUGGAGUAAAGAUUUAACUUCCAAAGUUGCAGUGUGUCUCAUUCUUGAUACAGCACAAUCUGAGAAGCUUCUGAGCCUCUUGUUGUAGUGGAGCUUCUGUUUCAGGAGUCUUGCUCCAUAGCAAUGGUCAUGCUGAACUGGUGAGCAUCUCACAUGGCAAUAAUGACCUGUGUCAUUGUGUCGCAGAGUUGACAGACAUCAUGUCUCUCGCAGCGGUGGCGAGUCUAAAGCCAAGCUGAAGACCGCAGCACCUUUACGAAUUGCUCUAACCCAUGUUUUGCGUAGGCAUCCACCACAAGGUUACAGUUCAAAGCAUAACUUAGCAAACAAGUAGAUAAAGGAUUUUGCUGAUGAAAGCUUGUACAAAUCUUUCCAUUUUCCAGUUUAACCCAAUCCACUCGUUCGGAGAGCUAUUUAUUCUACAGCAGAUGUUCCCAGAAUACCUCUAGCGGAGAGGGUUUACUAUCAGCCUAUUUUGGAUAUUAAUCUAUCUGAUUCAGAAGGGAAGAACUCAGUAUUUCAAUUCCUGAUCAAGUUUGUGUCAAGAACUCGUUUCCUGAUCAAGUUCAACCAAGAGGGUAGACCAAAAAAUAUAUGUGCAUUAUAAUCUUAAACUUGGUUCAGAUAUUUAUCAUAGUGAUCUUGACGAACUUCGACAUUUAUCACAUUCUCUUGCUGGGAUAUGUACAAGAGCAUGUCAAGCCACAGAAGUUAAGAAGGAGACCUCAGCUACAAAGCUAAUAAGCGAGUUGUUUGACAACAGAUUAUUUUCUCUGUUUUGUUUUUGAUAAAUCAAAAUUCAGAAAUGAAUGUACUCAAAAUCCAAAUUCAAUACAUGUCUUUAAUUCAUCAUAAAUAGCUGGUUCGAAAUGACAAUGCUCCAUGACUAACUUGGAAAGCUCUUCUGCUGCUUCCCACAACUCCCUGGCAUUUCAGACAUGCAGCUAAAGCCUUAGUAUUCGGCUUCCAUUCUGGUGUACUUAUUGAAAUUGCUUUCUUCAUUGUUUCGGCUGCUUUCACCAUCUGACCAGCAACACAGUAUCCAGCUGCUAAAUGAACAAAUGAGUCUGCAUUGAGCUCCAUCCCACUACUCUCUACUAUCCUUACAAAUGCCUCAUCCUUUUCCCAAAGACCCUUCUUUGAAUAACCAGCAAUCAUUGCAUAAACCAUGUCUUCAUUGAUAACCACUCCUCCCAAACCUCCUCAGCAACAUCUUUGCCAUCUGACUUCAUCAAUAAGCUUAUCAUAUGUAGAUAGCUUGAAUUAUUAAAACCAGCUGAGUUCUUAAAGAAAUUCCUAAAACGAUAUAGUUCAUCCUUACUGCCAGUACCAGCAUACAAUGAGAGGAGAUUCUUAUAAGCAUAUCUUCUCUCAUUAAACUUGAUUAAUUGUUCUGAUUGCUUCAACAUUGUCGAAGUUUUUUCAGUAAAGCUAGCUUUCAAGUAACCCUUCGCUGCAGAAACACAAACUUUCCAGUUGAUCCGAGAAUCUCUUUCCAUUUUCAUCAGAAGUUUCUCCAUUUUCUCAAUAUUGGAAGAAACUGCCCUUGUCUUCCAUCUCCUGCAUCAGAAUAUGUACAUCCUCAUAUUUUCCAAUCUUGGAAUAGAGGCUUAGCAUCCAAUUGUAAGACAAUGCUUUUGCUAACCCUAGUUCCUUCAUUGUCUGCAUCAUGGCCUCUGCUUUUUCCAAAUGCUUAUGGUCCACAUAGUAGUUUAAAAGAGUAUCGCAAAGGUGCAUUCUCCGAUGGUAAGGAAGGCUGUAAAAAUAUUUUUCUGCUUCUUCUAAGCCAUGGAUUUUAGUAUUAAGUCCAGCUGAACCAACAUUUCCCCCACUGUUUGUUCAUAGCCUCUUUGCCUCAUCCUUUCUGAUAUCUAACACAAAAAUGGGAUUUAAGUGUUCCAGUUACAUAGUCACAUUUCUCUGAUCAGGGUUCAUAUAUUCAAGUUGAUCGAUUCCCUCCUACACUUAGAUUCACAUCUAUAAUUCUAACACAUCAGUAUUUAAAACUAGUGGUAUUUUCUUCCUUUCACAUCCAUGUCUGUCCAUUUUCAUAUGGGGAAUGCUAGCGAUGCCGAAGCAUCAGGCCAUGUAGAUUGGUAAAUAGUUUCUACUGUUUCUGCCUUAUCAUUUUCAUAUUCUAUUUCAAGAUAAAUAUCAAACCUUUAAGUAUAUAUCCACUAAAAACAAAAUCCUCUUCACUUCACAAUGGAGCUAAGCACACAAGAAAACCAAAGAGGACCAAGUUUAAGAAAACCACAAGAAAACCAAAGAGGACCAAGUUUAAGAAAACCACAAGAACAACACUGGGCAGUCAUGAAUCAUGAUCAAGACCAACAAAGUACAUCAUAUUCAACCAAUCCAUAAGAAAGGUUGCAGAAAAAAAAUCCAAAACCAGAAUGAGCCGAGAUAUUUCAGGAUUAUGAAAAAAAUAGCUGACAAAAAACUCAGUUUUCUUGGAACCCAGCAACCAAAAAUCAUUGCCACCUUCAACCACCAAACGCCAAUUGAAUUUUCCCUGUAUUUCCCUUUUGAACCAAUCAAGUGUUGUCAUACAUGCAUAAUGCAAAAUAAUGAGUUUAUAUGCGAACAGGUGCAUGUCUCUCUCUGUUUUUUUUUUCUUUUUUCUUUCAUUUUUUAAAUAUAAUUGAAGUGUUCAAGUAUUAUUAUAUCCACGUUCGAGGUCAAAUGUUUCAAGGCUGAUUUAUGGUCUUUUGGUGUUACUGCAUUGGAAUUAGCCCAUGGUCGACCUCCUUUGUCUCAUUUUCCUCCUUCGAAGUCUUUGGUCAUGAAGAUAAAGCAGAGGUUUGGGUUCUCUGAUUAUGAUGAUGAGAAGCAAAAGAAAGAUUUCAAGAACAAGAACUUCUCCAUAGGUUUAACAUGGUUGCUUCUUGUCUUGAUCAAGACCCUUCAAAAAGACCUACUGGUCAACUUUUAGAGUAUUCUUUCUUCAGGACCUGUGAAGGAUUAGGCUUUUUGUUCAAGAACGUUUUCGAUGGGUUGCCUAAUGCUGAAGAAAGAUUCAAAGAAACCAAACAUUAUGGGACAUCAAGCCAGAUUACUGCUGGUGCUGAUAUUGAAGAAGAAGAAGAGGGUACUACCUCAGCGGCUCCGGUUGAACAAAGGAUCAGUGGCUGGAAAUUUAAUGAGGAUGGAUUCGUGCUUGACCCAGUAUUCCAUAAUGAGUCAGAAGAUGAUCAAGUUGUGAAAGUGGUUCGUUUUAGAGGUGAAACCAUUAUUCCUAAGCUGGACAUAGAAUUCAGUAAGUCGUCAGGUGACUUGGAGGGUUUAGUGGGAGAUCAGACUGGUGCAAACAUGAGUGGAAUACAGGGAAUUACUGAGGGUUUAGUGGCUCUCAAGAAGAGUUUGGAUGAGCAGAGGAAGCGACUAGUAAGUUUUUUAAAAAUGAAUAGGUUUAACUCUCAAGUGCAUCACUCAAGCUGUUAGUUAUAGACUUUGCAAAACUGAAAUUCUAGAGAAUUUUGUUCAGAAUCCUAGAUAUCAUUUGAUCUUUGCAGCAAUUGGUGUCUGAUGGGCUCUUAGCUUUGCAAUAGGCCUUGGCCUUACCAGGUCCUGUGCAAGAUAUGAAAGGUAGAGAUGGCAGAAACUGUAAAGAAGUAAUGAAGCUGUUCAAAUAGGAAGUACAAACUACAAAGAAAUGAAACUACAAUAAUUUCUAAUCAAGAAAAAGAAAAUUAGAAAGCUCUUUUGAAAAGGAAUAGAAGUCCUUUGUUAGCCAUCAUCACUUUAAUCAAUGUUGGCCAUCAUCACAAGAAACUUGGAAUGUUGUUUCGAAAAAGAAAUUCCUGCCCAAUACCAUAAAACGAAGGUUCUUCAAGCUUAAAAUCACGUUAUUUUCUUUUGUCUCAACCCUAGCUCAACUUAUUGUAUAUUUUCAUGGGAAAACAAGGCAUACACCAAGACAGAGAAGAUCAAGGACAAGAAGACACUAUCUGCUUCUUUAGAUCAUCGACAUGCAUGCUUCUCUUGGAAAAUUUGUCAAAACUAUUAAUUAUGCCUCACAAGGGAAAAAUAAUGGUGAAAAAAGGUUUCAUAAUUAAGAAUGAUGAGUUCCCUCACUCUAGAAAAUACCGAAAGCCAGUGGCUACAUGUGAGACAGUUGAUGGCAUGUUGGGUCAAAGUUCCUUGUUUUCUCAAGAAGAGGCUUGCAGCUUCAGGGCUAGAUUCAUUUAACAUAUGCAGGUUUAUCAAUUCAUCUUCUUUCCUUUGGAAUGCAAAAGUUUGACACAAGCUAAGAUAAAUAUUUAGUAACUAGUUCAUGGGAUAAACCUUGCGUUAAUAUUUGUUUAGCAUUCUGGUUAACGGGUGAGUAAGAAUACUCAGAUGAAUAUUCUAAUAUCCAGAUGCCUUUCCUUUAUCUUCAGAGUCUCUAGAUGAUCAGUGCCAAGAAGCUCAUUGAAUUGUGAGGGAAACGGCUGAAGCAUUGCUGCUACUUAGUGAAGAAGGAUCAAAUUAUUGCCACAGAAUUAGUUGUAUAGAGUCAGAAAAUCGCAGCACAUGGCAUCAGAAAAUGCUGAGAAGAGUCAAUUCGUUGUGUAUAACAUUAUAUUCCUGAUAAAGAAAAAAAAAACGCCUGGUAAUUCUGUUAGGUAGUGUUUUGUAUGCUGAAUAAAGAUGAAUUGAAUGUGAAAUUUUUUUUGUGAAGUUUUUUGAUAGUAUAUCUUAAGGUUGUUCUAGUAAAGAUAAACUUCUCCACUUCUCAAAUCAUGAGUUAUUAUUUACAAAAUAACUAUAUUGGUCUUUAAAUAAAAUCAAUUUUUUUAAAAAAAAAGAUCAAAACAAGAAAAAAAAUCCAAAAAAAUCAACGGAUUUUUGAUGGAUUUAACCUAAAAUGCAUGUCAACUCAAGUUUUUCUAGGUCAAUUCAGAUUAAUUAUUUCUUUAUUUAUUUUUAACUUAAACCUCUGUUAUUAACCUAUAUGAGUGGUGACUCGACUCGGGAGUCGACUAGGGACAAUGCUCGGGUCAUGGGUUGGGAGAGUCAACAUAGAUUUUUCUGGAUUAACAUAACGAUAAAAGUGAUUAUUAUCAUUGUUUUAAAACCUGAAUUGAAGAUUGUCCUGGGACAUGACCUAAGUCACGAGUCAUGUUGACUGAUAAACUGGGUCAAUGUAAGGAUAAAAGUGGUUGUUAUCAUAGUUUUAAAACCCGAUUCGAGGGUUGACUCUGGGCAAGGCUUGAGUCAAGAAUCGGGAGGGUCAACUAGAGUUAAGCCGAGUUAAUAUGGAUCGAUGUAAGGAUAAAAAUGAUUAUUAUAAUAGUUUUAAAACCCGACUAGGGGUAGAGAGGGUCAACCCGGAUUGACUUGGGUUAAGUUAAGAAUAAAAUUUUUUUUUAUUAUAGUUUUAAAACCUAACGCGGGAGUUGACCUAGGUCACAGGUUGGGAGGGUCAACCCCGAGUUGACCCAAUGUUUUCUUCAAAAAAAAAAUCAAAGCAACCUCAAUUUACAAGUGAAAAAAAAAUCAAAAAGAGAUUAAUGGAUUUUGACCCAUGUUUUAUCCCAAGUCAACUGAGUCGCAGGUCGACCUGAGUUUUUUACUGGGUCAAGUCGGAUCAAUCUUUCCUCUAAUUUUUGUUAAACCUAGACCAAUCGGGGUCAUGGGUUUGUCGAGUCCAUGGUCGACCCGCUAAGUCAGUCCGCUUACUAGGUCAGUUCGGGUUUUAUAACUAGAGUUAUUAUAAUAUUAUUAAUUUUAACACUUAAUAUAAACUAAAGUGAAAAUAAUAAUAUCUAAUUAUAUUUUAAAAUAUAUAAGUUUGACAAUAAUAAUAAAAAAAUAUAUAUUUUUAUUUUACCUUAACCUUAUAUUUAAAUACUUUUUUAGGUUUUGAUUUAGAAAACAAUAUAUAUUAUAAUUUACACUUUAAACAUUAAACAAAAUAGGAGUAUUAUUGUCAUUUGUCUCUCAAUAAUAAAAUAAAAUAAAUUAUUCAGUCUAAUCCAAUAUACACCAAAAACAAUCUUGUUCAAUGCCUACUAACCACAGCACAAGAUAAAUUAUUCAAUUCAAUGCACUCCAAGCACAAGGCAUGUCUGGUAUUUAUCCAAUCUGAUCUAUUCUAAUUAAUAUUAUCCAGCAUAUCAAAUCCUACCUUAAAUUAUCUUAACAGAGAAAUUGUUAGAGCUAUACAGUAUACUGCCUUUAUGGAAUAUACUGCCACCAUGAUCCGGCAGAAUGUGGCUAAAGAUGUAGAGAAAACAUUGCCGAAGAUUGUUGCUAGCAGUAGAUGCUCAUCAUCUUUGUAUUUUCAUUAAAAAGUUAGAAAUCAACUUCUGUCAAUUUGUGGCUUUCUCAGAUACAUUACUUUGCUAACACAAUAACAACACACCCAUAUUUUCAGGCAUUUCUCCAUGAUUUAGCACGUCCCUCCUCUGCCACUGUCAAUCUCUGUUGCAAGAUAUAAAAACAAUGUACACCCUUCUUCGGCUAUCAGACUAUACAAUUUAGCACUUUCCUUCUCUUCGACAUCCAUAUUCUCAGGCAUUUCUCCAUUAAGAGUCUGACCAUCACCUUCCAUCUGAUCAAGCGCUCUGGUGUCCAUGAAUAUGUCAUUAAGAGUCUGAAGUUUUUUGAAGAUGCAUUUUACUCCGGUUCAACAAUGGAUGGAAAUAGCAUCUAUUUACUUAGAAGGGAAGGCUGAUAUCUGUUUUGAAGAAUUCAUAUUGGGAAGUAAUUACUUGGCCAAAAGAAUUCUAAAUAACUAGAUUUAUAUUAUACUUGGAUUACUAGAAAGAUAUCAUUGAUCAUGAUUUUUUGAAGUAUUACUGGAGUCAUUUUGAACUAUAAUAGAUGGGAUCGAGUUUCUCCAAUCUCGGAAAAAUUAGUGAUAACAUCAGACCCAAAAUAUUGUUUAUGUAUUUAUAUGAUCAUAGAUAAUAAAAGUAGCCCAAACUAUUGAGAGAUUUAAUUUUAAUUUAUGUUUUUUUUUUAUUUAUUUGAAUUUUUAUUUAAAGUUUCUUAAUUAGACUUUGGAUCCGUUUAUUUUUGCCUUUCAAAGAAGCUUUUGAAAAAAGUUAAUUUUUUUUUUUUUGCUUCAAAUUAUUUUUUUAAUGUUUUUAGAUUGUUUAAUUUAAUGUAUUGAUAUUAAAAAUAAAUUUUAAAAAAUAAAAAAAAUAUUUUAACACUUCCAAAUAAAAAAACACUUUGAAAAACAACCGCUACCAUAAUAACAAACAAACAUUUUAUUUAUUGGGCUUGAUUUAAUUAUUGUUAGGUAUUAUAUUUAUUAAACUAUAAAUCUAAUUAUUUGUUCUAGAUAGAGUUUUAAUAUUUAUAUUCUAUUUUUCUAAAUGUUAGAUAAUUUUUAAUGAUUUAAUUAAAAUAACAUACCAUUCCUCCUCUAAAUUCUCUCUUCUUCCUAGCUUUUCCUUCCACUGUUUUAAUUCUUGACUUCUUUCUUUCUUUGCUUUUAGUUUUUUUUUUCUGCAUCACUUCUAGUCUCUUUUUUAUUUUGGGCAGAAGUUUUAAGCAAUAUGAAAUAGAGGGUAUAAACAAAUAAAACGAUCAUCAUGUACAGGACCUCAAUUCCAAUCCCAUACAAAAAGAUGAACUUAGCAAUCCAAAACAAGUUGCUUGUCCAGAAGGUAAUCGUUCAAGGUGUGAUCCUAAUGCAUUAUACUGUCAGAUCGUCUAUCUAAAGCCCCAGGGUCUUUGAUUACACCUUUAAAAUUAACCUGUCCAGUGAGUUGUAGGAUGCUAUAAACUUGGCAACUGAUUUUCGUGAUCAAAGCCCCAAGUAUCUUUUUGUGUUUCUUCGUCAACAGCAAAACCAUCCAUUUUCAUCUGAUAAAGAACAUCGUUAACUGAUUUUCCGGCUGCCAUAGAGUUCCUAGUUUUUCACCAACCGGGUGAAUUCUUUCAUCUCUUCAGCAUCUCCCUGACCUUCCAAGUACUCCAAACAGGUAUUCACAAGGAUGGGAUCUGGUUUCCAGUCUCUUCCAACAUUGACGGCUCUCUUCAACAUCUCAACAGUCUUGGGGAUUUGAUCAUGUUCCAUAUACCCCUUUGCCAUUACAUGCCAUGUGCUCGCAUAAGGUGUUCUUCCUUGCACUGCCUUUUCUAUGGCUGCUUCAGCCUUCUCAAAAAGUCCCCUAUUGCAAUAAGCAACAAGAAGCCCAUUCAAUACACGGAAGUCAUACGUGGUGGUGCACUGGGACUCCCACUCUUCAAAGAUCUUUUCUGCUCCCUCAAUAUCAUCCAGCUUCGUAAGAGAGUCAAUCAUGCAACAAUAUGAUGUAUCCAUGGAUUCACUCGAGGGCUUGUACAAAUUCCAAAUUCGAUAAAGCUCAUCCUUAUUCCCUGUUUUUGCAUAGAGACUCAAAAGAAAAUUAAAUACUGCUUUCUUCUUUCUGAAGGCCAUCCAUUUCUCCAGCUUCUCCAACAUUGUCAAAGCUGUUUCAAUGGACCCAAUCUUCAGAUACGCAUCAGCAGCCAUUGCAUACAAUUUCCAAUCUAGACCAAGCUCCGGAUUCUCCUCCAUCAAUUUCAAGAUUCUUUCCACUCCGGAAAUGUCAGAUGCAGCAACUGAAGCAGCAAUUAGAUUUCUCAGUGUAUAUUUAUCUUCAGCAAUUCCAUUCCUUUCCAUUUCCUUCAUCAAUGGGGGGAUUUUGUCAAAGUCUCCGGUUUGAGAGUAAAGGAUGAUCAAGAUGUUGUACGGAAAAGAUGAUGUUGUCAUGCCCCCUUCUCUCAUUUCCUGCAUAACUGCUUCUGCUUUCUGCACAGAUUUCUCUCGCACACAGCCAUUAAGAAUAGCACCAUAUGUGUACUUAGUUUUUAACUUAACCGAAAGUUUAUUAAAGUAGUUCUCGGCCUCCUCUAAUCCACGAACUCUAUGAAUUAAUCCCAAUCUGACUGCUGCAUCUUCCGUUGUAAAUGUAAAGAACCGCCGGGCUGUCAUCCAUUCUGAUACCUGAAUUAAUCAUGCUCUCUAUCAAGUUCCAAUUUUACAGGAAGCAUGUACAUUAAACUCAUCAAAUUACAACUACACUGCCCAACACAAAGGUGCAUCUAACCAUAUCUUGAAUCAUGAUAUGGUCCAAGCUUCAUCAUGACAAAAAUAAUUGGCCUCGUGCUGACUUGCUAAUUAUAUAUCAGAUCUUAAUUAUGCCUCGUGCUGACUUGCUAAUUAUAUAUCAGAUCUUAAUUAUCUUAUCUCUUAAGACUAGAUAUAUGAAAAAUUCUCAAACUUUUGAAUCAUAUUGAGACUGACACAAAUCCAAUAAAUGACAUGUCGUCCAAAAGCUGAAACUUUACCCCAAAUUCAGUUCCACCAUAAAUAAUUCAACAAGUUCCCACAACAAUCUCUAUAUUUUACUCAAAGGGUACACAUAAAACAAUCUAAUGAGCAAAAAGAAGUCAAAAAAUGAUGGGGAUUGAGAAAUAAAGACCUCUAAAGCAUGUUUGAACCGUUUAUAAUCUUUCAUGAGACGAACCAAGGACACAAGAUGGUGUUUGUCAACAGUGUUGCCUUCUUUGACCCAUUGAUCAAGCACCGGUACGAUGGAGACCCUGGGGUCUCUUAUGGCUUCAAUUCUUCUGCAUAAUGUAGUAGAGUGUGAAGAAGAUAAUGGUUUGGUUGGGGUUUUAGUAGAGAAGAAUAAAGAAGCUAAAACCCUUGUGGAGGAGAUGGAGAAUUGAUAGUUUUGAGGAAGUAAAGAAAAUAAUUUUCUAGAGAAAUGAAGAUUCAUUAUUAUUUCUCUGAGUGAAUGUGUUUGAAAGAAUUGAUGUUUGUGUAAGGGCAAGGGAAUAAAUGGAAAUAGAGACAGGGAUUUAACUUAGGGUUUAAGGCUAGGAAGAAAACCAAUUUGGUUUGGUUUAUGCCAUCAAAACUCUGGAUUUAUCGUAUAUUUGAGGGUUGUGUUCUUGGCAUUUUAUUAAUGUGGUCCCUGUAUUAUUUUAGUUUUAUUUAGUUGGUCCCUUUACUUAAAAACAUUUCUACUGUGUAUUGUACUCUCUAACUAAUUCCUGCGUAUUUUACGGCUAAUUCUUAUCAACGAGCCCGACAUUAUCGAUCUAGUUACAUGUCUGGUUUUUUUUUUUUUAACAUGUUAUUAACAGUGAAUUAAAUGGAAAUUUGAAGAAAAAAAAUCACACCAAGAAACUUUCUUUAAAAGAAGGGACAAUUAAUUAAUAAUAAUAAUAAAGUUUUUCUAGGUGAAAGAGUCAUGAGGCGGAGGUUAAGACUAAGAAGAUAUUUAACAUUGUGUUUUUAUCUAUAAUUGAGUGCAUUUUAAAAUGUAUUUGGUAUAGAAAACAUCAAAUUAAUGAUAUUUUAGUAUAUUUUUUAUUAUUUUAAUGUAUUUAUGUCAAAAAUAAAAAAAAAUUUAAAAAUUAUUAUUAUAUAUUUUCAAGCAAAAAUUAUUUUUAAAAAAUAUCAUACAUCACAAUACCAAAUAUAUUAAUAUUAAAUUGAGAUAUUCCCGUCUCCUAUUUUGACAUAUAUUUGUACAUGGAGUUAUUGAAUCUCACUUAGUGCGGCAUAUAAUUUAAAUCGGGUACAGUUUUAUUUUAAAUCAUUUUGAAUAUUGAUCUAGUUAUAUUUUAAAUGAUCUAAUAGGUUAAUCUGAUCAAACUCAAGUGAGAUCUGACUAGAUUAACUUUAAGAAAUUAAAAAAAUAAAAACUAGAAACAAAAUCUUUUGAGAUAAAAUAUUAACUUGGUAAUUCAUGAGUUAAAUUAGUUUAAUUUAAUAACAUUAUAAUACAAAGUUAUUAAAUCUGAUUGGACUAAGUCUCCGGUUAACGGAUCACUGAAUUGACCCAUCAAGGGUUUAAUAUAUCAUGGAUUCAUCUAUGUCAUUGGUGGAUAUCUGGGUAUCAAAAAUAUUGAUAUUUAUUACCAUAAUAUAUAUUACAGGUUCCCAUUUCUAUCACACUAGUACAGCUCUUGAGCAAACAUAUGCAUAGAAAAUAAACGAGGAAAAUGUUUCAAAGAGAUAACCAUAUUAUUCAUUGUCAAUGCUAUUCUACUCCGCCUUGAACCGUACUCUUCAUUUGCCAAUGUAAUGGACUCAAGCACCUGCAGAAUGCAGCAGCACAGAAUUAGAAAUAUUCAUUAAUAAUCUUAAUUUCUUCGGGAGUUACACUAUAAUAAUAGAAAUUUACCUUCGCGUAAUGAAACGUUUUCAAGCUGUCCACGGAUCCUGGUUCCAGAAAGGAUGUCCCUAAUUCGAUGCAAUUCGGCCACAACAAUGCUCAUAUCCAUCCUCUCUCGUGGCAACUCUACAGAACAAGCAACUCCUAUCUUGAUAAUUGAAAUCAGACAUUCGAGGAUUUUUCCAGUUUCAAUAUGGUUCAUCCUAUGAGAGGAAUGGAUACUCCUUUCCACAUCUUCUCGGAGAAGUAUUGGUUCCACGACCUCCGAAACUCGGCCAUGCAAUGCCAUUUCAGCAUAAUUGUGAAGGUUCAGCCCAUCUUUAAACAUGCCUUCUGUAGGUCUUUUUCCUGUAAACAUCUCCAACAACAAGAUGCCAAAGCUGUACACAUCCCCGUAAGUUGACACAUCGCUGCCCACACCAUACUCUGCAAAAUUCAUAUGAACGAUGCAAAUAGUUGUUUACGGCCUUAGCUUAGAUCAUAAACUGAGAAAAUAGAACUAGACACUAAUGAAAAUACUUUUAAUCGCACCUGGUGCUGCAUAGCCGAUGGUGCCUUUCAAGCCAACGGAGCUGGUCUGUCCCGAAGAUAAUUGAUGGGAAACUUCUGGACGAAGCCUUGCUAAUCCGAAGUCCCCAACACAAGCAGUCAUUUCAGCAUUUAAAAGAACAUUGCUGGGCUUCAAAUCACAAUGGACAAUAGGUGUUGAUCCGCAGUGUUGGUGCAAAUAGUUGAGCGCAUUAGCCACAUCGAUUGAAAUAUUUAACCUCUGAAUGAGAUUCAAACUUCUCAGCUCUUGUGCGUUGUUUGGCUGAUGAAUUGGAUGCAACCAUUCUUCUAGACUUCCAUUGACCAUGAGCUCGUAAACUAUAGCCUUAAAAUCAUUUCCUUGAAAAUCAAUGCUAGAGCAUGCACUUACUACUCUAACAAGAUUUCGAUGCCUGAUGUUUACCAAGGCUGCGCAUUCUGCCAUGAAACUCCUGGAAGCUCCUUUGCGUAAAAGGUUAAGUACCUUCACUGCAACAGCCAUUCCAUCCGGAGGAAGGAUUCCUCUGUAGACUGAACCAAAACUGCCAACACCGAUUGAAUUGGCCGAAGAGAAUUCAUUAGUUGCUAGAAGGAGAUCUUGGUAGGCUACUCUCCUAAAUGGUAUCCCCCAUGUAGAUGUACUAGAAGCCUGCAUAUCUUUUGUUUUUCUAAAGAAAUAGAAAAGCAUGGAAGAGACCAACAAGAUUACCACAAGCAAGCCCCCAGACAUUGCGACGAUCAAUAUCUUAGUGGAAGAUUUCAGCUUUGCCGACUCAUUGGUUGUGCAUCUGGACAGAUUCAACUGAGGUAUACCUCCACAGAGCUUCUUGUUUCCUGCAAUGGAAAUUACACUUGUAUUGCCAAAGACACCUUGCACGGGCACCUGACCUUCAAGGUCGUUAAAUGACAGAUCCAGACUUUCUAACAACUUUAAGUCUCCCAAAAACUUGGGAAUUUGGCCACUUAAGUUGUUGUAAGAGAGAUCAAGAACUUUAAGUGCUCUCAAAGAACUCAGAGACUCAGGAAUGGACCCUUUGAAAAAAUUACCCUUCAAACUCAAAAGCUCUAAACUCGCGCAACUACCAAGACUACGGGGAAUCUCACCGGAUAACCUAUUUUUAGAAACAUCUAUCUCACCAAGAUGCACCAGAUUACCCACUUCCAAGGGAAGAGAACCUGUCAGAUGAUUUUCAGAUAGGUUUAAGGAAACAGUUCCUAAAGGGAUACUUAGUAAUUCUUUGGGUAUGGGACCGCUCAAAUUAUUAUUAGAGAGACCCAACUCCAACAAGUUUUGGCAAUUUCCAAGAUUCGAUGGGAUACUUCCAUGUAAACUAUUGAGUUCUAAAUGAGCAGCAAUUAACGACGUCAUAUUGCCUACAGAUGAUGGGAUACUGCCUGAGAUUUUAUUUUGAUCUAGAUAUAAAUAACCUAAAUUUUGUAAUUUACCAAUAGAACUUGGUAUCAUACCGCUCAAUUGAUUUGACUCCAAGCCCAAAGCAACCAGGCUGAUGAGAUUUCCAAUCCCAUCUGGAAUUGUUCCACGUAUUUGGUUUCUCCCAAAUCCCAUCAUCCUUAAAUUUUUGGAGAAGUUGCCAAGUGUUUCAGGAAGUACCCCUCCUAAAUGGUUGCCAGCUAUCUCAAAAAUUUCCAAAACGGUGUUGUUUUCCAGGGGGUAGAGAAAACUCAGGUCAUCGUCCUGGCCACUUCCAAGAUCAUUGUAACCAAUUGACAGGUGCCACAAGUAAGGCAAGCUUCCUAGGGCGGGUACUUUCCCAGUGAAGAAGUUGUCUGAGAGUUCAACAUUAGAGAGAUUUGAGGCAUUAGAGAUUGUCAUGGGAAUCAGUCCACUGAAGCGGUUUGUGUGAACUAGAAGGAUUUCAAGAUUUGGAAGGGUGUGGCCCAAGUCAGGAGGCAGAGUCCCAUGAAGUUGAUUCAUUGGCACAGCAAAAUUAGUAAGAGUAGAGAGAUUGAAUAUGGAAGGAGGGAUUGUACCACUCAAAUUAUUGAUGCCGAAUGAAAAGAUUUGUAAUCUUUUCAAUCGCCCUAUACUAUUUGGAAUAACUCCUUUCAAAUUAUUCCCCAUCCCACGAAUUUCUACGAUAGAUGAAAGGUUUCCAAAUGAAGGUGGUAUUUCGCCGACCAGAUCAUUCAUUUUAAAAUUUAAUACUUUCAAUUUUGAUAAUGAUUCUAGUCGUUCAGGAAGCUUACCAGUGAGAUUGUUGCCCUCUAAACGAAGGGCAAGGAGAUUUGUGCAGCUUGAAAUGUUAACAGGGAUUUCACCACUAAACGAAUUGUUACCUAGUCUCAACAUUUGUAGCCGAAACAAAUGACCCAGUUCUUCAGGGAUAUUGCUGCUCAAGCUAUUGUUUUCCAGGUUCAGUAGCCUAAGGAAACUCAAGUUGCCAAUAGAGGGAGAUAGGCCGCCCACCAGUUUAUAAGAGUGCAGGUCAAGCUCUACAACUCGCUGAUGUCUGCGUCCACAUGUAACACCAGACCACUCGCAGAAGUGGAAGGAUUCGUUCCACGAGUUAAGUGCACCAAAGGGAUCAUCUGUAAUUUGAGCCCUGAAAGCUAGCAAAGAGAGUUUGUCUGUCUCAUUUCCUCCAUGUAAUGUGAAGGAAAACGAGUGCCCAGUCACUUGCAAGAAAACUAUCCACAAAAUGCAUGAAUUCAUGCUUGGUAGCUUUCUUUAAUUAAGUAUUAAAGAUAUGAUUAAAGUGAUUCUAAGUUUAUGCAUAUAUAUAUAUAUAUAUACAAACAUGGAAAGUGCUAAGGUAAAUGACAAUAUAGUUGUGCCCGCGCAAAUAAUCAACAGCUCGAGCCCACAAUGAUGUUAAGUUGUACGCAAUUUUCUUGCCAUUAAUGUUGAAUUCUGUGAAAAUGAAGGCCGAGGCCCUUCAACACGUUUUCUACCGUGCAAAAGACUGCAAGGAAUCUCCGGUCAAUGUGGACCAUGAUUUUCAAGCGGCCAAACUUGGUUUCCAAAUUUCAAUCCCUUGAUUUUCAAACUUUUGCAGCUAAAUCUCAGGUGGUAAGAUAUUUUGGGUGGAAUUCAAUACUGUUAUAACAUUGUGAACAAAUGAAUUUUCUAGACUUUUUUUUUUUUUUUUUUUGAUCUGAGGAAACUCCAUCCCCUGAAAAGUGUACUUUGUGGGUCCAAGUAAGCGAGUAAAACCCCGGCUGUUCCAGGCUCUUACAAGAGAUGCACGUCCUGACUCGAACUCGAGACCUGCUGUGCAGAUCUCAAGCUCUUUACCAUCAUGCUACGUUCUUUGAGGACUAGAAUUUUCUAGACUUUUAAAGGAAAAUAUAGAAAAGGAACUGCAAAAGCUACCGGAAAAUCUAGAACCAAGGUGCUAGACAUUUCUGUUCAUUAAUACCUUCUAAUACUUUUUUUUCCUGUUAUAAUAUUGUAUCUUUAUUUUAUUAUUACUCGCUUUUUAAAAAAAAAAUCAUUUAAAGCAAGAGUUAUCUUUAUUUUCAUGGUAGUACCAUAAUUGAAUAACUGUUUAUUUACAAGAAUUUUAUGUUACACUCAAAAAAAUCACUAAAAAUAUAGAGUAAGAAAGAAGAAUACGCAGCUUACCAAGAAGGAGCAAGUGCGGACCCAGUGAAGAAGUUGUCUGAGAGUUCAACAACAUUAGAGAGAUUUGAGGCAUUAGAGAUUGUCAUGGGAAUUAGUCCACUGAAGUGGUUUGUGUGAACUCGAAGGAUUUCGAGAUUUGGAAGGGUGUGGCCCAUUUCAGGAGGCAGAGUUGAUUCGUUGGCGCAGUAGAAUUAGCAAGAGUAGAGAGAUUGAACCGGCUAAGGUCCGGUUAUACGAGUUAAUCCGAGUCAACCAAAAUCAAUCUUGAAAAAUUUAAAAAAAAUUAAAAUUUUAAUAUUUCAUAUGAAAAAAUUAACAAUUUAUGUUAAUAUAAGCUAUACAUGUUAUAAAUAAUGAAGUUUAAAAAAUUAUUUUAAAAGGUUUUUUGUUCCACUUUGAAAAGAUACCAUUUUAGUAUGUUAUCUUUUUAAGUUGAAGUAUUUAAACCAAAAAUAUUUUUUAUCUCAUAUUGAAAAAACAUAACGUUUUUAUUGUGAAUAUAGAGUAUAUAUACUAAAGGGCUUCAAAUCCCAUAUUGAAAAAAUAAAAUAUUCUUAUAGUAUUUAUAUAGUGAACUUUGAAAAGGGUUAAUAACCAAUUAAAAAAUAUAUAAAAAGAGAGUUCUCUGGUUAGGAGAAAAAAUACAUUUGAAAAAAAAAGGUCUCAACCGGGUUUUGUCAGGUCACGGGUUUUGCCGGAUUUUUGUUAAUCCCAGUCUUUUACCUUACCUGGACCAAUCCAGCCAUCGGGUCGACCCGGUCCCUGGCCGACCCGCUGGGCUGAUCCGGGUUUAAUAACUAUGGUAAUGAUAGACUGUUUGUAAUUGUGACAACAAUUAUUUUUUAAAAAUAUUUUUAGUUUGAAAAUGUAUUAAAAUAAUAUUUUAAAUUUGGUAUAUUAAAAUGAUUUAAAAAUAUAAAAAUAAUUAAUUUAAAAAAAUUUAAAAAAUUAUUUUUUUAUUAAAAACUUUUAAAACAAAAAUUAAAAGAGGCUAUAAAUAAAAUUUCUUCCCAAUUGCACGUUAAGCUAAUGUGCACAUACAUGUACCACUUGUUAUACUUUAAUGGUAGCACGCAUGACAUGACUAAUUAAGAGUAUAUUUUGUAAUGCAGUUAAAUAUGUAUUUUUAAAAAAUUUAAAUAAUUUUUUUAAAUUUUUAGAUAUAUUUUUAUAAUUUUGAUACGCUGAUGUUAAAAAUAAAAAUAAAAAUAUAUAUAAAAUAUCUUUUAAUAUAUUUUAAAUUAAAAAUAUUUUUAAAAACAUUAUCAUCGCAUUGGUAAACACAAACUAAGUUUGAGAUUAUUUUACUUCUCCCAAUUUUAACUAAAAGUUUUAAAUUCUAUCCCAAAUAGGUUUUUUUCUUUUUAUUUAUGUGAGAAUUACAUCAACAACAAAUUGAUAUGCAACCAUACGCUAAUUGUUUUAAUUCACAGCAGUUUUCCAAGAUUAAUUUGAGCUAAUUAUUUUGUAUUGGAUUAUAAUAAAAACAUAUCUAGUUAUGAUUUUUUUUUCAUUUCUCAUAAUAAUUCUAGCUAUAUCUAGCAAAUUUUUUUUUAUAUCAGAUAUACAUAUAUUUCUUUUUUUUUUAAUAAUAAUAAUAUAUCGUAUAUCUUGCACUCUCUAGCUUAAAACAUAUCACAAUUUGAUUUAAUUUAAUUUAACGCUUCAAAAAGGAAAUAAGGACGAACUUUCACAUCAUUUUCAACACAAAAGUCUAGUUUUUAUAUAUAUAUAUAUAUAAGAUUUACAUGAAAAUAAUAUCUCCAGACAUGUGACAAGACACAUGUCAAUAUUAUUAUUAGCCAAUCUUCACGAGACUUGCUUCUGCAAUAGAAGCACCGGGCACCAUCCGUCUGUUAUAUUUUUUUCCCCUGAUGAUUUUUGCCAAAAGUUACUCUAAUUAGAAUCACUUCGUUUUUUGUAUUUUUCUUAAAAAUAAAAAAGUAUAUUAUUCAUAAAUAGCAUUAAUUUUCUAAUUAAAUUAUAUCAUGAUUCAAAAAUCAAAUUCCAAUAAAAAAAUAUAUCUUGAUAAUUUUUAUCUGACUGUAAAUAAAAUAAAGGAAUAAUUAAUUUACUAUUUUUUUUUAUAAAAACUUCACAAUAAAAAAAAAUAUUUUAUUUUCAUUGAAUAUUUAGGAGAAUGUUUUUUAAUGCUCGUAGACCACCUUAUGAUUACAAACCACCACAGUCUAAUACUACAGCAGUAGUUUCAUCAGAUUCUUUCAUCAAUCCUAGUACUUUAACUAAGCAAUUUAAGAAGUUUCUCUCCUUAUAUCCACAAUCUAUAUCUGUUCCUUCUUCCAUAGACAAGUUCCCUCAUAGUUCUUUAGAUAUAUAUAUCAUUUUGAAUGAGUCUUAGAUUCUGGUACUUUACAUCAUAUAUCUCCAAAUUCUUUAUCUUUUGCUUCUGUGUCUCUUUCAUUUUCUAUUCUUGUCAUGACCGCUGAUGACACUUUUAAGCAUUUAACAAGUGUUGGUUCUAUUGUCAUACCUUACUUUUUUCUUCUUAAUUUUUAUUUUAUUUGAAAACUCACAUUGAAUCUUGCUUUAUUGGUCAUUUAUGCGAUUAUGGUAAUUAUUUAGUCAUCUUUUCCUCUUUUUUUGUUGUUGUUGUUGUGUGCAAGGUCUGCAAUCCCAAUAGCUGAUUGGGACAGGCCAUAGGAAGGGGGGACUAUAUAUUUUGGAUGAAUUAAAAGUGACAGUUAUUGCUACUAAUAGUGUGCUAGUUGCUACUGCUACUAGUGUUGACUUGUCUUUUUUUUGUUUAAGUCCUUCUUCUUCUAAUUUUUAUUUAUAGCAUUUUCAUCUAGGUCAUGUUUUGCCUUCUCGUUUGAGAUUUUUGGCAUCCACUAGAGCUUUAGAAAAUUUGCAAACUUGUGAUAUUUCUGAUUUUAGUGGAUAUAAACUGACAAAAUUGUUUGCUUUACCUUUUAAUCGAAGUAUUUCUAUUUCUUCUUCUCCAAUUGAUUUGAUUCAUUCUGAUGUAUGAGGACCUUCUCCUGUUACCACAAAAGGAGAAUCUCGAUAUUAUGUUUCUUUUAUUGAUGAUCAUACUUUUAUUAUUUGAUUUAUUUAAUGUAACAUCAAUAUGAAUUCCUUGACAUAUAUAGCCUUUCACGCUCGUGUUAAAACUCAAUAUUCUAAUGUUAUCUAAUGUUUUAGGUGUAAUUUGGGUAGGAAAUACACCUUUAAUAAAUUUUAUGAGUUCCUUGCCCUAAAUGGAACUAUUCAUCAAACUUCGUGUACAGAUACUAUUGAGCAAAAUAGCGUUGCUGAAAGAAAACAUAAACACUUGUUGAAACUGCUCGUUCUCCCUUGUUGUCUGCUUCUGUUCCUAGUGUGUUUUGGGGUGAAGUUGUUCUUACUGUUGUAGGUUUGAUUAAUAAAAUUUCAUCUUCUUAUAUUUCAGGUUUUUCUCCUUUCAAAAAGUUGUAUGGGUAUGCCCCUGAUUAUUUUUUUUAGAGUUUUUGGUUGUACUUGUUUUGUUUUUCAUGCUCAUGAAAAACACAGCAAGUUGUCCUCUUAAUCUGUUAUUUAUGUCUUUCUAGGUUAUGGUAAAGGUAAAAAGGAGUAUCAUUAUUUUGAUCCAAUAUCUCAGAAACUUUAUGUGUCUUAUCAUGUUGUCUUUUUCGAGCAUAUACCUUUCUUUUCUAUUCUAUCCAUUACUCAUAGCUUAACUAGAUUUGAUCUUAUUCGUAUAGAUCCUUUUUUUAAAGAUUCUGAUAAUUUAUCAUCUCGAGUUUCUAGUACUUCAAUCCUUAUUUUUAUGUUCUUACCCCCAUUACCUUUACAUUCUACUCGACCAAUUUGUACUGACCAUUCUGCAGGUAUUGCCACUUUACUCUCCGGUACACCUGAAGCUCUCUUUACUUCUAUGGUCCCUCAAGCUCUGUUUGAGAUUGUGAAUCCUCCUUUAUGUCAAUCCAUAUGCAUUUGUAAGUCCAUAAAGUUACUAUAUUUUUUCUAUUCUUGUUAUUCUUCGUCUUUUACUUUCUUUUUAGCUUUUAUUCAGUGUCUCUCUGAGCCUUCUUCCUAUAAAAAGAAAAUUCUUCAUCUUCUUUGGCAGUAAGCUAUAGAUGAGGAACUUUUAGCUUUGCAUAAGACAGAUACUUGUGAUUUGGUCCCUUUACCUCUUGGUAAGAGUUAAUUGGUUGUCGUUGGGUGUAUAAGAUCAAGACUAAUUCUGAUAGAUCUAUUGAGCAAUACAAAGCUAGGUUAAUUGUAAAAGAAAACUCUGAACAGUAUGGUAUGUAUUAUGAGGAGAUAUUUUCUCCUGUUUCAAAAAUAACUACUAUUUAUACUUUUAUUGUAAUAGCUUUGGUUCAUCAGUGGCAUGUCUCUCAACUUGAUGUUAAAAAUACCUUCUUGAAUGGAGAUCUUCAAGAAGAAGUUUAUAUGGUGCCCCUUCCUAGUGUUUCAUAUGACUAUAGGUAUGUUUGCAAGCUCAAGAAAAUGUUAUAUGGUCUUAAACAACCACCUCGUACUUGUUUGAGAAAUUUUCUAUUGUGAUCUCUUCCCUUAGAUUCGUUUCUAGUACUCAUGAUUCUACUCUUUUUGUUAAGUGCACUAAUACAGGUCGUAUCAUUCUGUCUUUAUAUAUUGAUGACAUGAAUAUUAUUGGUGAUGAUAUUAAUGGUAUUUCAGUUUUGAAGACAGAGUUAGCUAGAAGUUUGAAAUAAAGGAUUUGGGUUCUUUAUGAUAUUUCUUGGGUAUUGAGGUAGCCUACUCACCUAGAGAUUAUCUUCUUUCUCAUUAAAAAAUAUUGCAGAUAUUCUUGAACGGGUUAGACUUACUAAUAAUAAAAUUGUAGAUAAUUCUAUUGAGUUUACGCAAAGUAUUCUUCUUCUAAUAAUUUACUUUUUUCAGAUCCUACUUUAUACCAUACUAUUAUUGGGAGCUUGAUAUAUCUCACUAUUACUCGUCCAAAUAUUACCUAUGUUGUUUAUGUUAUUAGUUAGUUUGUUACUUCUCCUAUUACUGUUCAUUGAGCAGUUGCUCUUCGUAUUUUGAGAUAUUUUCAGGGUACAGUCUUUCAAAGUCUUUUAUUUCCAUCCACCUUUUUCUUAGAGCUGCGUGCAUACUCUGAUGUUGAUCAUGAUAGUGAUCUCCCACAGAUCGCAAGUCUAUUAGUGGUUUCUAUAUCUUUUUGAGUGAUUCUCUUAUUUCUUGGAAGAGUAAGAAACAAUCUAUUGUUUCUCAAUCUUCAACCGAAGCUGAAUAUCUUGCUAUGACAUCUACUACCAAAGAGAUUGUUUGGUUACAUUGGUUACUUGCAGAUAUGCGAGUUUCUCUUUCUCAUCUCACUCUUAUGUAUUGUGACAACCAAAGUUCUAUUCAAAUUGCUCACAACUUAUUUUUUCAUGAAUGAACUAAGUACAUUAAGAUCGAUUGUCAUCUUAUUCGUCAUCAUUUCAAGCAUGGCACAAUUACUUCGCUCUUUGUUCCUUCUUCUUUGCAGAUUGCAGUUUUUUUACCAAAUCGCAUUCUAUUUCCCGCUUUUGUUUUCUAGUUGGCAAACUCUCGAUGCUUAUAGCUUCCACAUCGUGAGUUUGAGAGGAGAUAUUAAGAGAUAUAGGGUUAUUUUGUUUUAUUGUUUAUUAAGGGUAGAAUAGUCUUUAUAUUUUCUUUUCAGUUUUAUUUGUUUAGCCUGUAUAUAGUCUCUUUGUAUUUAAGUUAAACUUAUUUAUUUUGAUUGCAUUAUGUUGUAUCAAUGAAACCCUAGCUUUCUCCUUUUUUAUUUUGAUAUUUCUCUUUAUUUUUCUGGAUUUUUUAACAAUAUACAACUCUUUGUAGCAGGAAUAUUUCCUGUUUUGGUUAUCUUUUGAAAAUGAAAACCUUCCGAUCAUCAAAAAAAUAAAAGAAAAAGGAUGUUGGGACUAGUCUACUGUAUUUAAUUGGAUCAAAUAUAUGUCAUUGUUUUUGCAAAAGUGAUGAAUUUAAAGGUUUUGCAGAGGAAGCUUGGACAAUCCAAUGAUAGAACUCUUUUGCAGCUGCUUUUCCUGUUAGGAAUUGCUGCUUUAUUUGCUUCAGUACUUGACUUGUUUACUUAUCUAAAUAGUUUUUGUUAGCAUUCAUCUUAUUCUCAACAGAGCCUGAUCAUGGUUUCAUGUCUUUGUGGCAUAAGAUUUCCUGUUUGUGCUAAAUCUGCUGCUUACCUCCAUUCUGUAGUCUUAUAAUUGCUUAGUUAUUGUCUAAAUUUUUCAUUCAGGAAGAUAAAUCAUGUAAGAAGUUUUGUACCUAAAACCUUGUUGUUAUAUUCCUCGAUGUACUUAAUCAGACAGAUUUUCAACAUGAAAUCGGACAACCUUAAGUACUGCUUAAGUGAAGAUACAAAAAAAGAAAAAGAAUUCAACAAUGGCUCUCUGAGUUCAUAACUGGCAAAUAUAACUUUACUGUUUCCGUUGUAGAAUGUAUUCUAUAUGAGACAAAUAUCAACACAACACAACAUAAGCAAUGCUAUUGUUGAGCAGACAUAUUGGUUCAGUUGAUGGCAGGACUAGGUCCAGAUGGUGGCAGUGGUGCACCUUUUGGAAGCUUUGCCCCAAUGGUUCUAACGCCUGCCUCGUAACUGUUCUCGGUUUGGAAUCCUGAAAGCUUCCCCCGAGGCAGCGGCCGAGCCUGGGAAUUUCCCAUGAGUGCACAAACCAGAGAUAGAGCAACUAGGAAGCAUAUGAAAUUCAUGCAGCUGUUUGAGCCCCUCAUUUUAUGUAUGCCUAAUGUUUGACAGGACAAGGUUAUUUAUAGGCGCCCUUCAGAAAAUAAUUGGCCAGGUUUUGCUUGCAUGAAAUGUGGGCGGCUUGUCAACAAGGAUUUGGGUACAUGAAAUUAUUUAUUUAUUCAAUGAACUAGCCGAUAAAGUAUCUGUCCUCACAUUUCUAAAUCCAAAAAGUGCCCAAAUGCAUCCUCUCUUUUUUUUAUGACAAAACGCUCUCAACUUCUGUCCAUACGUGACUCAGAAGCAUCAACACCAACUAACAUCAAGCAGAAGUCAACCUUUAUUAAUCUUAUAUCACCAUGGAACAAAAUCACUUCAGAACUAAACAAUUUCCAUUUACCUAUAAAACAAAGUCUAUCCUUAAAUAUUUCGUAUCAUAUAUAGUGGACAAACGAAACUUCAAAAGCUUGUGGCACCACGUUGGAUUGAUAGUUAACACAUUCAAGAAUGUCAACUACUAGGAAAUAUAUUUUCGUAAACAAAGUCAAACUACACUUGCUUCUUGCUAGCGAGCUUGGGUAAAAUUCUAGAGGCUUCAUGUGCUGGAAACCAUCAUUCUGUCUUGAUUAAGUUGAAAACUUUCAAACUAUACCUGUCUCUUGCUGGCUUGGAUUAGGUUUGAGAAUUUUCUUUCUUCAGUUUCUGAAAAUAGACAAGACUUGUCAUCACUUUUCUAGCUUGUUUUUGUUUGGUUUUCAUGUUAUUCAUGAUAUCUUCAAUCUAGCUUCUUGACAUGAUUUUCAUGUUCUUCUAGUCUGUUGCUUAAUUCCUCUUUGUAACUUUUGGAGUGCCGAAACUGCUGGCUUGUUGAAGGGCUGGUCUUGUUUCUUCCUUACUAAUAUUAAUAUUUCAUUCCUUAUAAAUGGAUCAAAAAACAUUGAGGCAAUUCAAGUAUUAUGUACCUAAAACUAUUCAUGCCCACUUAAAUGUUAAUCCUGUGAUGCACUUAUUCAGAAGCAGAUUUUCAGUACAAAAUCCUGCAUAUAUAUACAAAGCUCAACUACUUAUUUCUAAUCAUUAUAUCUCAGGAAGAACACCAAGCUGUCUGCUAAUUCACAUGAGUUUAAAGGCACACAAGUCACAACGCGCUUAAUCCUUAUAAUUAAUGACACUGCAACGUCCAAAUAGGACUGUCCAUGAAUUGAGCUCUUAAAUCAAUUUGUAAGGCUCUAUUAAGCAACGGCACUGCUUAACAGAUAUGAUCAGUUGAUGCGAGGGCUGGGUCCAGAUGGUGGUAAUAGAGCACCUUUUGGUAAGCAUUGCGCCGAGGCUAAAGCUCGCAUCAUCUCAGUUUUCUGUGUGGAAUCCUGAAAUCUUCCUCUGAGGCAGCUGCCGAGCCUCAAAACUUUGCAUAAGAGCACAAACCCUAGCUAUAACAAAGAGGAAGCAUAUGAAAUUCUUGCACCUGUUUAAGCACCCCAUUUUUUGAAUACCUCCAGUUUGACAACCAGGUUAUCUAUAGCAGCAAUGCAGCAAAUGACCAGGUUUUUCCACGCAGGAAAUGCUGGUCAACUUGUCAUCUGGCUUUACGUUCUUCUCUGAAGCAAAAAACUGUCUCCCCUCGUUUUUAAUGCUAACAAGCAUUCUCUCUGUCCAUAACUAAGAAGCAUUACCAUCUAAUAUUAAGAAGUCAACCUAAUUUUAUAUCGCUAUUGGAAAAAAGUCACUUAUGAAUUUAAAUCAAUUAUAAUUUAUUAAAGAAAGUUUGUCUUUUAAUCUUCCAUAUCAUAUCAUGGUGGCAAGGCCUAGCCUUUUCAAGUUGGCGUCUCUUGGCAUUUUAAAUAAACUCUCCACAGCCGAUCCAAAUGGAGAGUACACUAUCAUUUACUCUCGCAAGUAAACACUACUUAUACACUACUUUGUAUUAUUAAUUAAUUUUAAUUAAAAAAAUAAAAUAAUAAGAUUCAAAUAAAAAUAAUAAGAUUUAAACUCAUAAUAAUUUAAUAAUUAAAAUUAAUAUCAUGACUCAAAAUAUAAAUUUAAAAUCAAAUAAUAAUAUAAAAGUCUUUUUCUCCAUGGACGUUCUCUUUCAAAACAACUAGGAGAAAUAUUGUUUUUUAAAUGAGUAAUGGGUCUGCUAGGAACUAUUCCCAUUUACUACAUAACAUUCAGCUUUGAUCUUUAGCAGCUGAGUUUUGCAGCUUUCAGUGGCUUCUCUAUUCUCUUUGCUUGACUAGUUUCUUAUUGAGAAACUUGAAGUUACGUUGGGUGUUUUUUUUUUUUUGCAUUUUGCUUUCAUAUUGUUGUGAUAGUUUCAUGCUGUUUGCUUGUAGCUAGCAGUGCUAAUCUUUGUCGUGAUUUUUUUUUUCAGAGGGAGAGAUCAGAGGGAUCAGUAUGGCUGCAGUUUUGUAACUAAAACUAAUCAUACCUACUUAAUUGUUAAUUCCCUGCUAGCUGUACUUGACUAAACUGAUAUAAAAUGUGACACACAACAAUUGAUUACUUCUUAACCAUCAUGUCUUAGGAAGACCACACCAUCUAAUGUUGACACACAACCCAUCCCACCUAAUACCUUUGAUGCUUGUCACUGUAACCAAGUAGGACGAAGGUUGUCCAUUUGAGCUCCAAAUUGAUCUCUAGCUUCUAUGAAGAAGAACAGUAAAGCAGUGGAGUAUAAUAGCAGCCCACUUGGAUAGUUAGAAUUAAAAGAAAUGUGUGGCCAAAGGCAGAAGCGGUAUGAGAAAUAAAAAUAAUGAAUCUAUAUAUAGCAUGUUAUGCAUAAAUCCUCUAUGAGAGUAGACAGUAGUACUAUAAACUAGACAACAAAGAAUAUAGCAAGCCUCUCUUAGUUCAUCACUACCUAGUAUAACUUAACCUCUCUUAGUAAACAUCCUAUUCAUCAUGCAUGAGAAUCCGCAGAGACUUUAGCAAAUGCCAUCAUCGAACGUCUAAAACUGAAUCAGUUGAUGACCAGGCUAGGUCCUGAAGGUGGCAGGGGUGCACCUUUUGGUAACAUCGCCGCAAGGUUCCUAAGAGUUGCCUCAUGUGAUGAAUUCUGAGCUUGGAAUCCUGGGACGUUCAUGUGCAGCAGCGACCUAGCCUGGGAACUUCCGGGGAGUGUUAAAACCAGCGCAAGAACAACUAGAAAGCAUAUGAAAUUCUUGCACCUCUUUGAGCACGCCAUUUCUUGUGUGCCUAAUGUUUGACAAGACAAGGGUUAUAUAUAUAUAGGAAAGAAAUUAUGCUGCAAAAUGACCAAGUUUAUUACGCAUGAAAGGUGGGCCGGCUUGUCAACUGGGAUUUGGUACAGGUAAUGUUUUUUUGAAUAACUUGCCGGCAAAAUGGUCUUGCUGUACAUUCUUUUCCGCCGAAUGGUAAUCCGAGAAGACUUUCUUUCACUAAAAUGUGGAUUCCGAUGGGGCCGGCUGGUCAUUUUUGUCAAGAGACUAAUUUGUAAUUGGAUAUGUGUUUAAGUAUUCUAAGCAUAUAGAUUAAUAUUAUUAUUUUUUUUUUUUUUUUUUGAUUUACGUGGGGUGUCCGGGCCAGCUUACGCGCACCACGACUAUUCCCCACGGCCCACUGGACAUCCUGCAAGCCCAGGAGCAGGUAAGGCACCGCGGGGGUGACAGGCGUGCACAUAGAGGGUCGAACCCGGGACGGGGGCGAAACAAGUCACACGGUUGACCACAGCAGCUAGACCCUCAAGUACAUAUUAUUUUAAACGUAAAACCAUUGACUUUAAAUUGUAUAUUGGGAUAAAGUGCGUAUAAUAAGUUUUGAGUUGACUUGUUUUUAUUCAUCAACUUGCACAAUUGCUUCAAGAUACAAAUUCAAGGUACAAGAAAGAUAGAAGUGAAGCUGCAUUUGGAUUCAAACACAAGGAAUCCUAAAAAAAAACUUAUUUUAUUUCUUAAACAAUAAUAUGAACAGAUUGAUGAGGUGAUAAUUCAGUUUUUUAAAAAAUAACUAAAUCAUCUUUAAAAACAAGAAUUAUCUAACAAGAGCCUAGGGUCUUUUUCCACUAACAUUGAGAGGGUUUUGUUUUUGUUUUUUCAUCCUAUUUAUUUUUAGUAAUAAUCAAAUUGUCUUAAGAUAAAUUUAAUUUUUUAAUAAAUAUAAAAUAUAAUUUAAAAAUAAAAAGUUGUUGGCACGUGCAAUGUAGACACUAACAUAUAGAAUGUCCCCACACGCUAUUUGGAUGACACAUGAGCAGGUAGUUAGCUGUUAAACGGUGGCUUCUGUAAUGAUGUAUGAAUUGUCUUGGUGGUCUGUUCAUCCAUAGACGACACAUAUGGCUUACAUAUUUCUGGUUUGACACUAACAAUCUUUUUUUAUUAUUUUUUAUCUUCUCCUCGAUUUACAUGCAUGGAUCUAUAAAUUUUCAAAGAAACCUUUCAAUUUUUUUUUUCUUCAGAUUUGGUCCAUUUUCUUUUGAUUAUUAUUUGUUUUAUUUGAAAUAAUUUAUAACAAAGAAACUCUUCAAUAAUUUUUUUUUAUCUAUUAGAUUUGAUUCUCAUUCUUUUUAUUACUCUUUGUUUUGUUUUAAAUCCUUUUGUUAAUUGGAUUUGUUUUUCAACUCUUAACAUUUGAUUCAUUUUAUUUCUAUAUCAAAUUUAAUCAUUAUUUUUUUUAUUGUUAUUUGUUUUAUUUUAGAUCUUCUUUUUUUAUUGGAACUUUCUUUCUUCAAUUUUAUCUCUCAGCAUUUUGUUAAUUGAGAAUUUGGUUUUAUAAUAUUUUUUUUAGUUUUUCUUCUAUGGGGUAAUCCCGACUUCAAGACCUAGCUAGGUCACGGGUUUAAAAAGUUAUUUUGAGUUGACUUGAGUAAUUUUUUAGGUCAUUUUUUACGGUUUUUUUUCAUCCUUCAAUAUUAUAUUUGUUAGAGAUUAGGCUUCAUUAUUUUUUUUUUCUUUUUAUGAGGUUAUUUCAAUUUUUAUGUUGGGUCACGGGUUAACUCAUGUUGACUCAUGCUAAUUUUUUUAUUAGAUUAUCUUUUACUAUUGCCUUUUUUAUCAUAUCAAUAAAUUAAAUAAGUUUAUAUAUUAUAUCCAAUCAAGUCAAUGACCAACUCUUAAAUUUUUCCUACUUUUUUAAAAACAUUACCAUCACUUAAACAUCUUUUUUCUACAUUACAAAAUGUUUAGUCUAGCUCACAAUAUAGCAUGAACCACUAAUUUAGUUUAAUAACUAUAAAAAAUGGUUUAUGUACCAAAUUUAACCUCUAAUGCACCACCAUCUGCUAGCAUGUCUAUGGUAUUGGUAUCUCUACACUUGAAAAUGCUAUAUAAUUAAGACUAGGAUCAUGAGUCAUUUGAUGCUCAAUAUAUAGUUGUCAGCUCAAAUCACUAUAUUAUUAAGUCAACUCAAUUUAACUCAAAUCAAUAAACUCAAUUUAACUUAAAUCAAUUAUUUUUAUUAAAAACAAUGUUAUUUCAAUUUAACUCAAAAUAAUUAUUUUUUAUAAAAAAACAAUAUUAUUUUAAUUUUUUAAAAUUCUUUAGAGUUAACCCCAAUUGAGUUUCAUUUGGGUUUAGUCAAGCUAACUAGAUGACAAAUUAAUUUGCUAAAUUUAAUCGAGUCACCGCUAAGCCAAAGCAGGUUCAACAAAAUCUAUAUCCAAAAUCAAUGUCCAAAAUAGGCAAGUAAAUAAAUAAAUAAAUACUCAGCAAGGUCACCAAGUCACCAGGUCGAUCAGCCAAGCCAACUUAAAUAACCAUGGCUCUCAAAACAUUCCCAUCCACCGUCCACGGGCACUAAUUUAACCUGCUGCUCAGACUUUGAUACUUUGAACUAGUUGCAUGACAUCAGCUCUUCAUGAGAAAUAGGUAGAGAUCAUAGUUUCUUGAGGCACAUGGUCGAAGACUUUUCAUUUUUUGAUGGAAUGGUCAGACUUGAUAACAAAGUGACAUCACCUAAAAAACAAUUCCUGGUCCAGGACGGGAGAUGUGACAAAUGGCCUGGAUAAUUAGCAUAUCACUCAACAAACUUAAGGCAGAUUAUUAUGGUUAAUGGUAUAGUCCAGAUACUUAAAUACGUAGCCAGCAGGAACAAAAGAGAACAAAAAUAAAAAUACAAAUUAUGUUCAUCAAUCCAAGAGCGAUAUGAUAUAUUUCCAACAAGCAUAAGAUUCAGAGCCUUGUCAUCAAGCCCAUAAAGCGGCACCAAACUUCAAAACUCCAUGCAAUGACAAACAAACAGACAUCUCCAGCCUCCGCACAAGAGCAAGUACGUGCUAACAGCUAAUAGAAGAACCGUCAAUUAUUAGCCUCAAGCCAGCCAGACAAAUGGAGGCUAACCAUCAAAAUUCAAGAUGUGAUGACGAUAUAUAAUUCUUCAUUCAAGAACAGACUGGCACAAAGAAAUAAGAUGUUUAAAAUUGAUCGACAGCGUAAUAAAUUCAGCAAUUUAAAUUUAAAUUCACGAUUGGCUUCCAUACCAAUUCAUUUACACACAAAGCAGAAAUGUCAGCCAUGCACAAUCAUGUAUGUAUUCAUCCUGUUAGACAACAGGUCAAUGCAUUGUUUUAUGAGACAGCUAUGCACAAAAGUAAAUGAACUAAAAACCUAUUUCUGCUACCUGAAGAGUUUAUUUGUAGUUCUGAAAAAGGAUCAUAGCAGUUACCUUUACAACAGGUUAAAGACCUUUGUUAAGAGUAAAAUCUACAUCCUACAACUGAAACUAAAGUCAAUUGAAAGGUUCGGCUACUCAAACUUGUGCCCAACUCUACUCUUCAGGUCUAUAGAAAUGCAGCAACUUCAGCGGCAACACCUUUUCCUAAAAAAAAAAAAAGAACAUGGAGAAAGGGUUCAGUAUUACAAUUCCAAUUCAUCACAAUAAAAGUUGCAAGCACAGAAUAGAAUAGAAUACCUGAACUGGUUCUCCAGAUUGUGAAGGGAAAUGAAAACCUGUUGAGCAAUUCUCCAAGAUCUCUGGAUUUUUCAUCCAUCCUCUAUGUCCCUCACUCACUUUGAUCUUGUACUUGAACAUCUGAAACAGGGAAGAAUAUCAUGAUAUUAUAAUUGAGAGCACUUGAGAAUUUCUCACUGCUUUAAUUUCCCAAAGGAUUUUGCCAGUAAAAGAAAACCUUUUUUAUUGAGGGAAAACCAAUCACAACCUUAAAGUUAAAAGCCAGUUAAUCUUUCCUUCAAAUUCACUCCGUAAAGACUAAACAAACAUUUGACAAUAGAAUUGUUUAUUUAACUGGAGAGAAAAUUCUGUAAUUCCCUAUUACUGGCAGAGUGCAAGGAAAAAACAUUAAAAAAAAAAACAACACAAUGGCAUGAACAAAUGACAGAAACCAUACUUCUGAAAGAGGGGUAAGUGGCUUCUCAAACUCAUCUCCCUCAAUGUUCACACCGGUGCCUUGGCAGUCUGGACAGAACACAGAAACAAUUGGGUUUGGCAAAACAUUCACCGUUCCAUCCUUUCCUGUUGUAUUUGAUUUGGUUCCAUUCUUUUUCCUAGAUCUUCGCCCCCCUUUGGUACUGACUGUCUGAUUUCGAACAAUUUCAAACUCACAGUAGAGUAUCCAGUGUAUAAGGCAAGAAGCGUGAAAUACAUGAAAUGCCUGCAAGAAAAAAAUAUUUUUUUCAAAAGAUACUAAACUAAUUCUUAAUGUUUCACCUCAAACCAAAUCAAUAGAAACAAAUUAGUAUAUGCCCCAACAAGUAUCACAACGCAUUUAGAGCACUAGGUAAAACAUGAUCUUUGAGAAAUGACAGGUGAGGAAGAGAAUGUUACCCCAUACACAUUUCUGCUACUGCAAGCAAGUUUUCCAGUCUUCCUGUUCCAAAGCGUUGCUACAUCUUUCUCAGGAAGCAUCUUUUGCUGACAGAUAUCACACAUUUUUUCUGCUGCUAUGCGCUGUUGCUUUCUUACCUCUCGCCUUACUGUCUUGUUUGAUAUAAAUCUGGUGUGCAUGAGCUGAUCAUCAUAUCGAUCCAGCACCAAAUUAGAAGAGGCACAAGUUGUCUUUGAAGAUUCUUCCUCGCAUAAACCCAUACUGAUUAGUCAAAGAUCUACUAACAUCCUCUGGCUCAGAAACAGAUCUCUUCCUUUUCCAAUUACCCCUCUCAUCAUUUUCUGUCAGUGCUGGAGCACUAGAAGAGAGCAAUAGCUUCACAUCAUCAAACAAUCCACUCUUUCCCAAUUCGUAAUCAUAAGCAAAAGUUACAACACCAAAGUCAUGAUCCAAAACCUUGACCUUAUCCUCAUCAUUAGAACUCUUUUUCCCCAGCCAUUCACACCAUAUUCUACUAAUCUCAUUUGAACCAUCCUUCUUCUCAUACAUCCUGGCAGCAAUCUGUCCAGAACCCACAAGCGUUGCUUUCAAAUCAGAAACUUCUUCUUUAAGGCGCACACUCGGAAUCACCAGAUCAGAACCCUCAUCACUACCACUUAAAUUCUCAUCAACAACCGUAUCACAACCAGGUUUAAGAUUUUC
rnacentral:lncRNA from 1 species